rnacentral:sRNA from 1 species
UACUCUUCCAGGGUGGCGGCUACGCACUU